AGCCUGAUGCAGCGACGCCGCGUGGGGGAUGACGGUCUUCGGAUUGUAAACCCCUUUCAGUAGGGACGAAGCGCAAGUGACGGUACCUGCAGAAGAAGCACCGGCUAACUACGUGCCAGCAGCCGCGGUAAUACGUAGGGUGCGAGCGUUGUCCGGAAUUACUGGGCGUAAAGAGCUCGUAGGCGGUUUGUCACGUCGUCUGUGAAAUCCCUCGGCUUAACCGGGGGCGUGCAGGCGAUACGGGCAGACUUGAGUACUACAGGGGAGACUGGAAUUCCUGGUGUAGCGGUGAAAUGCGCAGAUAUCAGGAGGAACACCGGUGGCGAAGGCGGGUCUCUGGGUAGUAACUGACGCUGAGGAGCGAAAGCAUGGGUAGCGAACAGGAUUAGAUACCCUGGUAGUCCAUGCCGUAAACGGUGGGCGCUAGGUGUGGGGUCCUUCCACGGACUCCGUGCCGUAGCUAACGCAUUAAGCGCCCCGCCUG
rnacentral:rRNA from 1 species